CAUGCAAGUCGAACGAAGUAGCAAUACUUAGUGGCAGACGGGUGAGUAACAUGUAGGUAUCUGCCCUUUGGCCUGGAAUAACACGAGGAAACUUGUGCUAAUACCGGAUAAGUCUUUACGGAGAAAGCUUUAUGCACCAUUGGAUGAGCCUGCACUUGAUUAGUUUGUUGGUGGGGUAAUGGCCUACCAAGACUGUGAUCAAUAGCUGAUUUGAGAGGAUGAUCAGCCACAUUGGGACUGAGACACGGCCCAAACUCCUACGGGAGGCAGCAGUGGGGAAUCUUGCACAAUGGAGGAAACUCUGAUGCAGCGAUGCCGCGUGAGUGAAGAAGGCCCUUGGGUUGUAAAGCUCUUUCGUCGGGGAAGAAAAUGACUGUACCCGAAUAAGAAGGUCCGGCUAACUUCGUGCCAGCAGCCGCGGUAAUACGAAGGGACCUAGCGUAGUUCGGAAUUACUGGGCUUAAAGAGUUCGUAGGUGGUUGAAAAAGUUAGUGGUGAAAUCCCAGAGCUUAACUCUGGAACUGCCAUUAAAACUUUUCAGCUAGAGUAUGAUAGAGGAAAGCAGAAUUUCUAGUGUAGAGGUGAAAUUCGUAGAUAUUAGAAAGAAUACCAAUUGCGAAGGCAGCUUUCUGGAUCAUUACUGACA
rnacentral:rRNA from 1 species